CCUAGCAACAAACACGUUGCAGGUUUGUGUCUGAGGAAGAGCGCACAAAUGGAAAAGGUGCUCUGACAGAGUUAGGAGGGGAAACUGAUAACAGGGGGAAGGAGCUGCACCGCAGACAUCCACAGCCCAGUACCAACUGUCUCAUGGACCGGUACCGGUCUGCAGCUGGGGGUUGAGGACCAUUUGUUCUAAACACUGACCUCUGAGUCCAGGAGCUGAUGUAGCCCAGAACCCGCAGAGCAUGCUCCUUCUUCAGCUGGAAACUGCCUUCACUGCUGUCUGCGUCUGAUACUGGAGGACAAAAACACAACACGUCACACGAGACGUCAGGA